UUUCUUUGCAGACUGCUGUCUCAUCCUGAAGCUGCACAUUUGAUGUGCUUUUAUAAUGAAUUCAUUUGCGCCCUGACAGAUGUUUCUGAUAUGAUAAGGAACGUGGCCCAGGGGCCAGUGGCGCUGUGGAGCCACUCUUGUUCCUCACCUGCAUUGCAAAUGAGCUAUAGCUUUCUUAUCAGUUCAAAAACACGAGCAACUGCACAUAUAAAUAAUAUGCCACUGACUGCCAGCUGUUUGUGCCAAUGACAUUCUUCAUAAAAGAACAGAUUCCCCCCCAUCAUCUGUUCUCUUCCCUCUCGCAGAAAAUCAGGAGUUCUUUUGCAAGUGCAGCAGAAGAGAAUUUUCUCUUUAAGCUUCAGACAGAGCAGUGAAAAUGUCACUUUAAAGUAACUAUGUAUUAGCAAAAAUUUACUUCCAUAUUUGACACAGCUUUGAAUAGCAACAGAUUGGUCACGCAAGUGAUGCCUAAUCUUCAGGCCUCCGUGUCAAGAACCAUGGACACUUUGCUCUCGAAAGAACCUGAUUUUGCAGGAUGCUCCAGACUGAAUUUGUUGGAUACGGUAAAGAAGGUGAUCCCAAAGACCCCAAGAAAAUUUAAAAGAAACACAAGAUCAGAAAGCAGAACCCACAGAGAAAGGAAACGCAUUAAAGGCAGCAAGACUGCAGUGCUAGUCUACGUUAGAAGAGACCUAUUCUGAUUUUGCCUGGAGCCGGAUAACUCUUCAAUGCACCUCCACUGUCACCCCUGCUGGCUCCCUGCUUUAAGGGCUUUCCAAAUUUCUACUGUCUGAGCAGCUGCACAAACCUCUUUGUGCUUUUGCUUUGAUGUGUGAAUGAAUAUCCAUCCAUCUUAAGAAAUUUCUCUGUGCAAAUGUAGUAGUGACAGAAGUCAUGAUUGGUUAAUUCACCCCACUCUGAUGCUCAUUGUCUUAGCUCAAGUCACUAAAUGAUAUACGAAUAUUAUUUAUUGUUAAUACUCUUCAUGGCUGUAUAUGUUGCUUUCUAUGUUCCUGGUGGUUGAGCAAGGAGAAAUCAGAACACAGUGAAUUUUAGGAUGUGUUGAGAAACUUGCAUGGACCUUUGCUUCCAGGAAAAACAUACACACGUGAUGAUAAGUAGCAACUUAUCUAAAAAAUACUGAAGAAAGCAUUUCUUAAAUGAGAGCACUUCUCUGGAACUGAGCACUUGGUCGUUGGCUGUUGAGCUUUUUUUUUGUUUGCUUAUUUUUGUUCAGUAUUUCAGUGCCCUACUGAUAGCAUUGUGUAAUCCUUGCUGGGUGUUUGCCAGUUAACUGAAUAAACUUUUACUUGCUUGAUGAUUUUAUAACUCCU